rnacentral:rRNA from 1 species
GAUGAACGCUGGCGGCGUGCCUAAUACAUGCAAGUCGAGCGAACAGACGAGGAGCUUGCUCCUCUGACGUUAGCGGCGGACGGGUGAGUAACACGUGGAUAACCUACCUAUAAGACUGGGAUAACUUCGGGAAACCGGAGCUAAUACCGGAUAACAUGUUGAACCACAUGGUUCAACAGUGAAAGACGGUCUUGCUGUCACUUAUAGAUGGAUCCGCGCCGCAUUAGCUAGUUGGUAAGGUAACGGCUUACCAAGGCAACGAUGCGUAGCCGACCUGAGAGGGUGAUCGGCCACACUGGAACUGAGACACGGUCCAGACUCCUACGGGAGGCAGCAGUAGGGAAUCUUCCGCAAUGGGCGAAAGCCUGACGGAGCAACGCCGCGUGAGUGAAGAAGGUCUUCGGAUCGUAAAACUCUGUUAUUAGGUAAGAACAAAUGUGUAAGUAACUAUGCACGUCUUGACGGUACCUAAUCAGAAAGCCACGGCUAACUACGUG